GACGAACGCUGGCGGCGUGCCUAAUACAUGCAAGUCGAACGCACAGUUUAUACCGUAGCUUGCUACACCAUAAACUGUGAGUUGCGACCGGGUUAGUAACGCGUAGGUAACCUGCCUGGUCGCGGGGGAUGACUAUUGGAAACGAUAGCUACUACCGCAUAAUAUUAAUUAUUGCAUGAUAACUACUUGAAAGGAGCAAUUGCACCACUACCAGAUGGACCUGCGUUGUAUUAGCUAGUAGGUGAGGUAACGGCUCACCUAGGCGAGGAUACAUAGCCGACCGCGGAGGGUGGUCGGCCGCCUGGGGAGGUGGACGCGGCCCAUGGUCCUACGGGAGGCAGCAGUAUGGUACCGGCGGCAAUAGGGGGGAGUCUGGCCGAACGACGCCGAGUGUGUGGAGAAGGUUCUCGGAGCGUAAAGCUCUGUUGUGAGAGGAGAACGGGUGUGAGAGUGGAAAGUUCACACUGUGACGGUAUCUUACCAAAAAGGGACGGCUAACUACGUG
rnacentral:rRNA from 1 species